ACUGAAUUGGGGCGAUUGCCCUAAUCCUUCCAUUUAAGGGAGCUGUUCAGCUGUAAUAAAGAACUGAAGCUCCCUAUGGAUGGCAGCGAGAGAGAGAGCGAGAGAGAGAGAGAGAACAUGGCUCCUAUGCUCCUGUGUGGAAUUCAAGCUGCAGCAGCUUCUCUGCACCCAGGAGUGACUUUCAUUCCCUGCCAGCCAAAGCCUGGAAUCCCUGGACUAUGACCUGUCCUGCUGCCUCUGCAGAGCUUCACCAGCCCAGACCCACCCCUUCAUACUCUGCUCUGUGAUGCCAAGGCGGGGAACCUGCAUACCACAUUUCCCAGAUAGCAGCUUCUUGUUAGAUUCCACCAGCAAGAGGUACUCAUGGGAGAUUGCAAGUCGGAUGGAGAGAAGCAACUCCCUGUUUUCUAGGUCUUCCUGACCUUCCUCUUACAGCAGCUCCUUGGAUCUUUUGAUACGCAAGCGCCCAGGGUGCUCCCUUGGUGGGCAAAGCCCUACCUCUGCACCACCGUCUCAACAAACACCAGCUGUAUGGGCCCCCAAGAGCCAGAAGAUGGCUUCCCUCAAAGACUAUCAUGGCCCAUCUAGCUCACCUUAUUUUCAGGAGCCAGGGGGGCUGUCCUGUGUGUGCUCAGGAGCUCAGCCCUCUCAGGGACCGUGUAGUAAUGGCUGCUACUGAGACUUCCAGGGACUACAUGGAACUAUAUGCCUGACUCCCUAUGUGACAACGGAAGCAGAGAGAGAUCUGAAGAUGCUACUCCGCUGGCUUUGAAGAUGGAGGGAGAGACCACAAACCAAGAAAUGAAGUUGGUGUCUAGAAGGGAGACAAGACAAGGGAAUGCAUUCUCCCCUAGUGCCUCCAGAAGGAACAGAGCCCUAGUAACACCUUGAUUUUAGUCCAGUGAAAGCCAUCUGGAACGUCUAACCUUCAGAACAAUAAGACAAUAAAUUUGUGUUAUUUUAAACCACUAAAUUUAUAAUCAUUUGUUAUAGCAGCAAUAGGAAACUAAUAUUCCUUAUAACCCAAAUUAGUCCCCACAUUCUCAGUAUCUUCCCCCGGACCUCCCCCUGCAAAGCUUCAGUUUAGAGACACAGAUCACACAUAUUGCAUCUGCUUACAUACUGUGUCAGUUAGGAUGCCUUUGCCUGCAAGCAUUAGAAAACUCAACUCAAAACAGCUUAAACAAUGAGGGAGAGAUACUAUCUUACAUAACAAGAAGUCUCAAGGUA